rnacentral:rRNA from 1 species
GUGAGGAAUAUUGGUCAAUGGGCGGGAGCCUGAACCAGCCAAGUCGCGUGAAGGAAGAAGGAUCUAUGGUUCGUAAACUUCUUUUACAGGGGAAUAAAGUGCAGGACGUGUCCUGUUUUGUAUGUACCCUGAGAAUAAGGAUCGGCUAACUCCGUGCCAGCAGCCGCGGUAAUACGGAGGAUCCGAGCGUUAUCCGGAUUUAUUGGGUUUAAAGGGUGCGUAGGUGGUUUGAUAAGUCAGCGGUGAAAGUUUGCAGCUUAACUGUAAAAAUGCCGUUGAAACUGUCGGACUUGAGUGUAAAUGAGGUAGGCGGAAUGCGUGGUGUAGCGGUGAAAUGCAUAGAUAUCACGCAGAACUCCGAUUGCGAAGGCAGCUUACUAAGAUACAACUGACACUGAAGCACGAAAGCGUGGGGAUCAAACAGGAUUAGAAACCCUAGUAGUCC